CAGGAAAAAUGGCUCCCCAAUAGCCGGCAUAGCCGGGUCUUUAUUCGCAGUUUCUGCUAUCGUUUGUCAGGGACUCUGCCAACUUUCCUCUCUACUCUUUUCUGUAUAUUCAUCAGUGAGAGAGCUGGUGUGAAAAUUCUCCAUCAUCGCAGAAAGUUCUAAUGGACAGUGCUGCUCCCAACAGAAAGAAUGGCAAAUACACAGGUCCUGAAGAGGCGGACAACAGAAGAAGUAACAAGGAGGGGCCAGUUCAGAGAGCAGCAAGAAUCUGCAUAGAAGUAAUCAUUUCUGGAAAUCCAGAUUACUUAGUGGCAUCUGCUGAAACACAGAUGAGUUAAAAUACUUGUUAUGAAGAGGGCCUGUACCAAUGAUUUUGAUCUUUCAUUAAAAAAGGAAAUUUCAAGCUCUUAGAAACAAAGAAAAAAUAAACGAGUGUUACAAGAAUGUUUUAAGCAUUCCGUAGAUGGCUCAAGAAUAGUAUAUGCAGGGCUGCCUUUUACAUUUAGGGCUGGACUGGGACAUGGUACGUAGGAAAUUGCAUGGUGAAGUGGUACAAGCAUCAGGCUCAAGAAUGAGAGUCCAGUUUGACAGACCAGAUGAAGAAGUGAUUAAGACCAUAGUUCUGGACUUAGACAAGCCUGGCUUUGUGACUUUGGACAAAUUAUUUGAUAACUGUAAGUGUAUUUAUCACUAAAAGGCAGAUAAUAAUAUUAUGUCAUACAGAUGCUCAUCCAUUGAUUCAACAAAUAUUAAUUGAGUGUCUUCCAUGUGCCAGGUACCUUUCUCCUCUAUAAAAUGGAACAGAAAACAAACAAAAAAAUAUAUAUGUAUUUUGAGACAAAGUAUUGCUCUGUUGCCCAGGCUGGAGUGCAGUGGCACGAGCUCGGCUCACUCCAACCUGCACUUCCAGUUCAAGCAAUUCUCCUCCCUCAGCUUCCCGAGUAGCUGGGAUUACAAGUGUGCACCACCACACCUAGCUAAUUUUUUUGUAUUUUAGUAGAAACGGGUCUUCACCAUGUUGCCCAGACUGGUCUCAAAGUCCUGAGCUCAGGCAUUUCACCCAUCUCAGCCUUCUAAAGUGCUAGGAUUACAGGUGUGAGCCACUACACCCAGCAAAAAAUAUCUGCCUCUAUGUACCUUACAUUCUAUUUGGACAGGCAAAGCUCAGACAAGAUUAAUAUAUGUUAAAAUGUACAGCAAAACAUAUAGUAUUUUAGAUAGUGUUAAGUGCAGUGGAGAAAAAAAAACAAAACAAUAAGGGUGGCGAGAAGAAUCAGGAUGGAGAAAAUAACUUCAUUUUAGAUGUGGAGUCCAGGAUAGGCUUCACUGACGAGGUUGAUCUGAGGAAAUAUCUGUAAGAAAAAAAGAAGCAAAAAGACCCAAGGCAGACUGAGUUGUGAGCAGACCUGUUGUAUUGGAGGAGGCUGUGGAAUGAGUGAAGGAGCCUAUUUGGAGAUGGAGUCAGAGAAGUAAGAGGGAUGAUGAUACAGGAUUUAAGAAGUCACCAUGGAAUACUAUGCAGCCAUAAAAAAGUAUGAGUUCAUGACCUUUGUAGGGACAUGGAUGAAGCUGGAAACCAUCAUUCUGAGCAAACUAUCGCAAGGACAGAAAACCAAACACCGCAUGUUCUCACUCAUAAGUGGGAAUUGAACAAUGAGAACACUGGGACACAGGGUAGGGAACAUCAUGCACCAGGGCCUGUCAUGGGGUGGGGGGAGGGGGAGGGAUAGCAUUAGGAGAAAUACCUAAUGUAAUUGAUGAGUUAAUGGGUGCAGCACACCAACAUGGCACAUGUAUACAUAUGUAACAAACCUGCACACUGUGCACAUGUACCCUAGAACUUAAAAUAUAAUAAAAAAUAAAUAAAUAAAAAUAAAUUUCUCAUAAUAAAGCAAAAAAAAGAAGUCAAAGAAA